CCAUGAGAUCUGACCUGAGCCAAAGUCGGACGCUAAACCAACUGGGCCACCCAGUCGCCCCUCCCCCUGCCCCCCCAGAGUCCUUGAAAGCUGGAAGUCCAGGCAGGUUUCUGGCCUGGGCAGCAAGCUGUUUUGAGAGCCAGGCAUGCUGCAUUCUCGAGUCUUCCUCGCAAGGCAGAUGGUUACGCAAGCGUUUGGGGCAGGGGAGGAAGAGAGGUGGGGAUGGGUCUUAUUUGGGGGAAUGGAUUGUUCUGUGAAGUUCUGCACGCUCUGAGCCAGGAGGAGCAGCAGAAGGGAGCUGACCAGCCUUCCCAGAGACCGGCUUGUUGAGCCCAAGGAAGAGCUUGGGUGCAGCAGGAGUGUGGCCCGGAGUGGCCAGCUGGGGAGGACUAACGAGGCUCCUGUAGAGAGUCACCACCAUCUGGAGGAGGUGCUUUGUGUCUUGGAGGACUUUGUGAGGAGUCUCCAAGGCGAUCUGAACAGUUUUCCCCUCUCUGGACCACCCUCUCGCCAGAGCGCUGGUGCCUCCACGUACUCUUCUGGAGGGCAGAAGUGAUCUCACCACAGCUGGAAGGGGUGCAGGAGCAGAGAUCCCCCGCUGGUCUCAUCCUAUAGACUGACGGGACCCUGAGCACCUGCUCUGCCUGGCCCCCAUUCUACUCAGCCCGGCCCUGCUUCCUCCAACAUACUCCAGGCGUACUGAGCUGGGUUCCCAGGGCCCAGUGGGCCCUGCCGAGGUCGCUGGAGCCGCACGGCCGGGACUCUUGCCUUGGAGUCCAGGUAGAAGCUGAGUUGGGUUGGGGGCAGUGAGAUAAGGUCCAGUGUGGAGGGUCUUCAGCUCCCUACGACCCCUGUCUUCUUGUUCUAUCAGGGCCAUUCUUUGGAAAGCUGUCCCCACCCCCACCCGCAGUCGUCCUUCCACAUGUAGCUCUGGGAGCCCAGAAGCCCAGGCGAGACUUCCUUGGUUUGACCCGCAUCCAGUUUUGCAUAAUCCGGGCAUCAUCUGCACAGUUGGCUGGUGUCACUCAUGGCCAGUAAGUGGCCCUGCUUCUCUCCCUCAGCUCCUCCCCUUGGACCAGGGUGUUAAAAUAAAUCUGUUCCAGCGCAUGAAUCCCCUGACAAGCACGGCAUUGUGGUCUGCUGAGCUCAGGCUCUAGCCCUGCUUCCAAAGGAUCAUCUAGAACGACUGCUUCCAUUGCCAUCGUGCGGCCUGCCCUUG